rnacentral:tRNA from 2 species
GGCUCAGUGGUGCAGCUGGUAAGCAUGCUCGAUUUAACGUUCAUCCUCCUACAUUUAGAAAAGAGUGUCGAGAGACAGAGGUUCGAACCCUCUCUGAGCUA